UAGCCUUAAAUCUAGUGAAUGCACUGUCCA
rnacentral:piRNA from 1 species